rnacentral:rRNA from 1 species
GAGGUCUCAAGCGUUGUUCGGAUUCAUUGGGCGUAAAGGGUGCGUAGGCGGCGCGGUAAGUCGGGUGUGAAAUCUCGGGGCUUAACUCCGAAACUGCAUUCGAUACUGCCGUGCUUGAGGACUGGAGAGGAGACUGGAAUUUACGGUGUAGCGGUGAAAUGCGUAGAUAUCGUAAGGAAGACCAGUGGCGAAGGCGGGUCUCUGGACAGUUCCUGACGCUGAGGCACGAAGGUCAGGGGAGCAAACGGG